UGCCGUGUCUAAGAGGCCAGAAGA
rnacentral:piRNA from 1 species